rnacentral:misc_RNA from 1 species
GUCUUAGGGUUUUGCAGCAUAAUGUCGGCCAUAAAGGAGAUAUGCUCACAAAAAACACUGCCCCAUUUUGCUAAUUACAAUAACAUGAACGUAGAUUAAGGCAAAACUGUGUCCAAAAAAAGCUUGUAGCGAUGGAUAUCUACUUCUGUACUGGAAAAUUAAUUGGGAUUAAAAUCCAUGUUUCAUGGACCAACCGGCAACGCUUUGUUAUGUAUUGGUCGUCUUCUUCUAACGUGGGAAUAAUCCAUCGUAAAAUACUGCGAUGUGUCGGUCCCCUCCGCCCAUUCUUGCCUUGUCCCUCUGCUUCCUCUCAACACAUUUUCUUCCUUUUGAUAUGGUUUUCCUGAAAUAUCUCCUCUCUGCAGGAUAUCGCUUGAAGUGGAACCUUGACUUUUAUGAUCAUUAACAGGUGCUGCUUUCUCAUCAAGAAUUACUCUAAGCUUCCUUGGAAGUGUAGCAGCGGGGAGAGAAAACUGGACUUCAUCAACUCUACUGGCCAUGACUGCUCAUGACAAGAAACAGAUAAAUAAAUGAGAACAUGCAUGAAAAUAUAUAAUCUAAGGGUACAAAUAAUGAUCAUGGAGAAAUUACUAUUAACAGAAAGAAUAUUGAUCUCUAUUACCUUGUUCUUGAAUUUGGAUACCAACACAGGGUGUUAGAAGCACAGAGAAACACAAACAAAGAGCAGGGAAGAUGACUAGAAGCUCCAUUUCUUUCCUAGAGAACUUUGCGUGGGACAUUUCCUUUUAGCAUGGUAAGGAUAUAUACUUGUAUCAGGUACACAGAGAGAACAAACACAAAGCACAAAAAGAAGACUCCCAAAACGAGUACAUGGAAAUCCUCUGUUCUUACUUUUUAGGAGGCCUUCACACCAUUUGGGUUGGAUUUUUUGUCACCACUUGCUAUAGGAGGGCCCUUCAUUGGUUUAUGUUUUGUAGCCAUGUCUACACUACACUAUGACAUAUCCCCAUCAAAACCCAGAAAAAGAAAUAUAUUUUUAAAACUGUUGUGAAUAAAGACUACCAUCUUUCUUUCACUUUAUUGGAGAAAGAAAAAAUAUUUGAUAAAAUAUUUGAUAAUUUCAUCUUCUUGCACUUUAUUCUUCUCUAUCAUUGUUAGCGAAAUGGAAAUGCAGAUUGCAGGCCAGCUCAUUUACCAUUAAUUGAAUCAUGCAACUAGGCAGUUAGAUAUUCUCCUUUUGCCUCAUGACUGCCCCAGGAAAGUGAGAAUUUUAUGGCCUAGCUUCAGGCUUCCAAUUCCACAAUUUUAUGACUACAGAGCACUUUAUUCUCUCUGUACUUGUAAGAGAGAAAAUUACUCCCUUUUUCUCUUCUGUUCAGAGAUUAGGGUCUCUUUGCCUUGCCGCGUUUGGCCUUCCUUGUCUCGAUUUAGUGGGUUUUCCUCUUCGCUAAUCAGUUGGGUUGUAGAUAUGUUUUGUUUGGGGGGUAACGGUGAUGAAUUGUUGAGGGUGAUUUUGGGUUGCCGAUAGUUUCUAUAUGCUUUUGUUUUCUCUCUCUUGCCCUUAUUUUUGUUGGUAAUUUUAUAAUGUUGUUGCAAGUCUGGUGGUGCUUUAGGGAGGAAAUUAUGAGAAUCUGCUUUGAUUGGGUGGAUUGCAUGUCCAUUUGAGCGUUUGUGUGGACUUGGCAGGAGAAAGUAUCUGUUGCUGGGCAUGAAGGAAGAAGCAUCCCUAGGGUUUGAAGAGUUGGUCGAGUGAAUAUUGCCGCCUUGAAAAAAAGAGAUUGAGACACUGGUUGAGCCCUGCUCCUUAGCUUCUUACCCUCUGUGCAGGUUGCUAGUUUGAGCUUGAAUGGUUUCCUUGGCCCCAUAGCCCUCAUUCUCCACAUGGUUUAUUGUGGUUUGUAGUUUGGCUGCUCAUGUGGUAUUGCUUGGUCUGAACGGGCUAGUCCUUUCUGUUGGGGUUCUUCUCGGUAAGACGAUACCUAAAAGUGUAGCGUAGGUUGGCUUGAUGUUGGUAUUCUGUUGCGGGUUUUCUACCCGUUUAACUUGCCCUAGGGUUCCUUGAAUAGGGCUAAAGGAUUUGGGUUGGGCCUUUCCUUGUAUUUUAAGCUUGUGUUGAGCUUCUGUUGGCUAUAGUUAUGAUCCUUUUUAAGGGAUAUGGGGCCUUUUUUUAAGUUUGUACUUGUCCGCCAAUUCAAAGCCUUUUAAUUAAGCUUUUGUCUUAAAAAAAA